UGUUUUCAUGAACAGAAUUUCCUAAUGUUGUCUUGCCUCUUGACCGCUGCAUUCGGGAGAGAACACAGAAGUGAGGAUGCUGUGAUUGUGACGAGGUGGAGCCCAAACGCCACAGAUUAAGACGUUGAUGCAGCAAUGGCGAACACCUGAAGCACACUCAAGAAGA